CAGUAAGUAGUUUAAUAAAAACUUUAAUUUUGGAGAUUAAAAUUGGGGGUAAACUCUCCUUGCUGA
rnacentral:tRNA from 1 species